rnacentral:rRNA from 1 species
AUUCCAGCUCCAAGAGCGUAUAUUAAAGUUGUUGCAGUUAAAAAGCUCGUAGUUGGAUUUCUGGUAUAAUGCGCCUGGCCCGCUCCGUUUCGGAGUGAGUGCCGGUGCGCGUUUGCCAUCCUUCUAGAAAAUGUUUCUACCCUUCGCUGGGCCGGAUUCACGAUCUAGAUCUUUUACUUUGAAAAAAUUAGAGUGUUUAAAGCAGGCUUUUGCUAUGAAUACAUUAGCAUGGAAUAAUAAUCUAGGACUUCGGUUCUAUUUUGUUGGUUUCUAGUACUGAAGUAAUGAUUGAUAGGGAUAGUUGGGGGUGCUAGUAUUGAGCGGCCAGAGGUGAAAUUCUUGGAUUCGCUCAAGACUAACUUAUGCGAAAGCAUUCACCAAGGAUGUCUUCAUUA